GACGAACGCUGGCGGCGUGCCUAAUACAUGCAAGUAGAACGCUGAAGGAGGAGCUUGCUUCUCUGGAUGAGUUGCGAACGGGUGAGUAACGCGUAGGUAACCUGCCUGGUAGCGGGGGAUAACUAUUGGAAACGAUAGCUAAUACCGCAUAAUAGUAGAUGUUGCAUGACAUUUGCUUAAAAGGUGCAAUUGCAUCACUACCAGAUGGACCUGCGUUGUAUUAGCUAGUUGGUGGGGUAACGGCUCACCAAGGCGACGAUACAUAGCCGACCUGAGAGGGUGAUCGGCCACACUGGGACUGAGACACGGCCCAGACUCCUACGGGAGGCAGCAGUAGGGAAUCUUCGGCAAUGGACGGAAGUCUGACCGAGCGACGCCGCGUGAGUGAAGAAGGUUUUCGGAUCGUAAAGCUCUGUUGUAAGAGAAGAACGAGUGUGAGAGUGGAAAGUUCACACUGUGACGGUAUCUUACCAGAAAGGGACGGCUAACUACGUG
rnacentral:rRNA from 1 species